GUACCUUUCCUCUUAAGUUUAAUAAAAAUUUUAAAUCUGGUCUUAUCAAUUUAAUAUCUGAUAUGUCCUUUAUUUGAGGACUGUAUAUUAAAUUGAUUUUUGGAACAGGGGGGUGGAAUAGAAGCUUGCUCUGUCCAUCCCAAGCAUCAACCUGAUAUUGCAGGGGGAAAAAAAAAACGCAGGUGGAGUAGGGAGA